rnacentral:rRNA from 1 species
GAUGAACGCUGGCGGCGUGCCUAAUACAUGCAAGUCGAGCGAACGGACGAGAAGCUUGCUUCUCUGAUGUUAGCGGCGGACGGGUGAGUAACACGUGGAUAACCUACCUAUAAGACUGGGAUAACUUCGGGAAACCGGAGCUAAUACCGGAUAAUAUUUUGAACCGCAUGGUUCAAAAGUGAAAGACGGUCUUGCUGUCACUUAUAGAUGGAUCCGCGCUGCAUUAGCUAGUUGGUAAGGUAACGGCUUACCAAGGCAACGAUGCAUAGCCGACCUGAGAGGGUGAUCGGCCACACUGGAACUGAGACACGGUCCAGACUCCUACGGGAGGCAGCAGUAGGGAAUCUUCCGCAAUGGGCGAAAGCCUGACGGAGCAACGCCGCGUGAGUGAUGAAGGUCUUCGGAUCGUAAAACUCUGUUAUUAGGGAAGAACAAAUGUGUAAGUAACUGUGCACGUCUUGACGGUACCUAAUCAGAAAGCCACGGCUAACUACGUG